AUUGAACGCUGGCGGCAGGCCUAACACAUGCAAGUCGAACGAGUGGCGGACGGGUGAGUAAUGUCUGGGAAACUGCCCGAUGGAGGGGGAUAACUACUGGAAACGGUAGCUAAUACCGCAUACCAUCGGAUGUGCCCAGAUGGGAUUAGGUAGUAGGGGGGGUAACGGCUCACCUAGGCGAAGAUCCCUAGCUGGUCGGAGAGGAUGACCAACCACACUGGAACUGAGACACGGGCCAGACUCCUACGGGAGGGAGCAGGGGGGAAUAUUGAACAAGGGGCGCAAGCCUGAUGCAGCCAUGCCGCGUGUAUGAAGAAGGCCUUCGGGUUGUAAAGUACGUUCAGCGAGGAGGCGUUAAUCGCAGAAGAAGCACCGGCUAACUCCGUGCCAGCAGCCGCGGUAAUUC
rnacentral:rRNA from 1 species